rnacentral:rRNA from 1 species
CAGUCGCCGCGGGAAUACGUAGGUGGCAAGCGUUGUCCGGAAUUAUUGGGCGUAAAGGGAGCGUAGGUGGAUGUUUAAGUCAGAGGUGAAAGCCCAGGGCUCAACCUUGGAACUGCCUUUGAUACUGGACAUCUUGAGUGUGGGAGAGGUAAGCGGAACUCCGAGUGUAGAGGUGAAAUUCGUAGAUAUUCGGAAGAACACCAGUGGCGAAGGCGGCUUACUGGCCCAUUACUGACGCUGAGGCUCGAAAGCGUGGGGAGCAAACAGGAUUAGAGACCCCGGUAGUCCCUGUCUCUUAUAU